CGUAGGGUGCGAGCGUUAAUCGGAAUUACUGGGCGUAAAGCGUGCGCAGGCGGUUUUGUAAGACAGGCGUGAAAUCCCCGGGCUCAACCUGGGAACUGCGUUUGUGACUGCAAGGCUAGAGUAUGGCAGAGGGGGGUGGAAUUCCACGUGUAGCAGUGAAAUGCGUAGAGAUGUGGAGGAACACCGAUGGCGAAGGCAGCCCCCUGGGCCAAUACUGACGCUCAUGCACGAAAGCGUGGGUAGCAAACAGGAUUAGAUACCCUGGUAGUCCACGCCCUAAACGAGGUCAACUAGGUGUUGGGUGGGUAAAACCAUUUAGUACCGGAGCUAACGCGUGAAGUUGACCGCCUGGGGAGUACGGCCGCAAGGUUA
rnacentral:rRNA from 1 species